rnacentral:rRNA from 1 species
UACGUAGGGGGCAAGCGUUGUCCGGAAUCAUUGGGCGUAAAGAGCGUGUAGGCGGCCCGAUAAGUCCGCUGUGAAAAUCCAGGGCUCAACCCUAGACCUGCAUUCGAUACGGGCAGACUAGAGUUCGGUAGGGGAGACUGGAAUUCCUGGUGUAGCGGUGAAAUGCGCAGAUAUCAGGAAGAACACCCGUGGCGAAGGCGGCUCUCUGGAACGCAACUGACGCUGAGACGCGAAAGCGUGGGGAGCAAACAGG